rnacentral:misc_RNA from 1 species
CUCGCCUCUUUCACUUCUCUUCACUGUCUCGUCUCUCACCUUCUCUCUCUUAUUCAACUCUCUUCAUUCUAUACUUUUGUAAUUGAAGGAGGAAGGAGCUUCUGCGAGCUAUUGAUGUAUAACCACUUCACUUGCUUGUGCAUCAGCUGCUGGUUUUAACCACUCCAGCUCUUUUCGGAUUGUUUUGGUGCCCAUCGCUUCAAUUUUGCCC